rnacentral:rRNA from 1 species
GACGAACGCUGGCGGCGUGCCUAAUACAUGCAAGUAGAACGCUGAAGGAGGAGCUUGCUUCUCUGGAUGAGUUGCGAACGGGUGAGUAACGCGUAGGUAACCUGCCUGGUAGCGGGGGAUAACUAUUGGAAACGAUAGCUAAUACCGCAUAAUAGUAGAUGUUGCAUGACAUUUGCUUAAAAGGUGCAAUUGCAUCAAUACCAGAUGGACCUGCGUUGUAUUAGCUAGUUGGUGGGGUAACGGCUCACCAAGGCGACGGUACAUAGCCGACCUGAGAGGGUGAUCGGCCACACUGGGACUGAGACACGGCCCAGACUCCUACGGGAGGCAGCAGUAGGGAAUCUUCGGCAAUGGACGGAAGUCUGACCGAGCAACGCCGCGUGAGUGAAGAAGGUUUUCGGAUCGCAAAGCUCUGUUGUAAGAGAAGAACGAGUGUGAGAGUGGAAAGUUCACACUGUGACGGUAUCUUACCAGAAAGGGACGGCUAACUACGUG